GCGGUGGCGGGCCGGCCGAGUGCGGCGUUCGCGGUGCCGCAGCCGCCGGUCGCGCCGGUGCUGCCGUAC
rnacentral:tRNA from 1 species